UACGGUAGGGUGCAAGCGCUGUCCGGAAUUAUUGGGCGUAAAGAGCUCGUAGGCGGUUUGUCGCGUCGGCUGUGAAAACCUGGGGCUCAACCCCGGGCCUGCAGCCGAUACGGGCAAACUAGAAUUCGGUAGGGGAGACUGGAAUUCCUGGUGUAGCGGUGGAAAUGCGCAGAUAUCAGGAGGAACACCGGUGGCGAAGGCGGGUCUCUGGGCCGAUAUUGACGCUGAGGAGCGAAAGCGUGGGGAGCAAACAGG
rnacentral:rRNA from 1 species